GCUUUCGCCUUUGCAGACUCAGCUACUCUUCUGCUCUCCCUGUAGAUUCCAAGCUCCUUCCCUGACUUAUGCAAAUCCUCCACAACCGAAGAAGACUGGUGAGUGAGAUGUUAGAGGAAGAGAAAGGUUGAUGUUGUUGUGUGUUGCAGAGAAUAAACGGAAGAGAAGAAGGAGAUGAUGAUGAUUGGUUCACGUUGCCUCUGUUUUUUCUUAUCAUUUUGUUCUGUUUGGGAAAAGUUUAGAGAGAAUUUAUGAAAGUUUUGUUUCUUCUGAGUAUUGUAUGUGAGGCCAAGGAUACCACAAGUAGCAUAAACAUAUAUGACAUAUUGUGACA